CGCCGCCGAGGGGCACGCCGGGAUGUGGGCGGCGUUGCCGGCGCUGCUGGAGCUGACCGCCGAGGGCGGCCUGCUGUUCGACGCCAUCGACAGCGGC
rnacentral:tRNA from 1 species